AUGGACUACUAGGGUUUCUAAUCCCGUUCGCUCCCCACGCUUUCGUACCUCAGCGUCAGGACAAGCCCAGCUGCCUGAUUUCUCCUUCGGCGUUCCGAUAGAUAUCAACGCAUUUCACCACUCCACCUAUCGUUCCGACAGCCCCUACUUGCCUCAAGGCACGCGGUUCGUCAAGCAAUUCCUCGGUUGAGCCGAGGGCUUUCACAAGACGCCUGCGCGCCCGCCUACGUACGCUUUAAGCCCAGUGAUUCCGCGCAACGCUCGGGCCCUUCGUAUUACCGCGGCUGCUGGCACGAAGUUAGCCGGCCCUUCCUUUGGGUCUGCUCAUUGUGUUGCUAAACCCUGACAGCAGUUUACACUCCGAGAAGCUUCAUCCUGCACGCGGCAUUGCUCCGUCACG
rnacentral:misc_RNA from 1 species